UACGUAGGGUGCAAGCGUUGUCCGGAAUUAUUGGGCGUAAAGAGCGUGUAGGCGGCCACACAGGUCUGCUGUGAAAACUCGAGGCUCAACCUCGAGAUGUCGGCGGAAACCGUCUGGCUAGAGUCCGGAAGAGGAGAGUGGAAUUCCUGGUGUAGCGGUGAAAUGCGCAGAUAUCAGGAGGAACACCGGUGGCGAAGGCGGGUCUCUGGGCCGUAACUGACGCUGAGGAGCGAAAGCAUGGGGAGCGAACAGG
rnacentral:rRNA from 1 species